CCGUAGCUCAGUUGGAUAGAGCGCACGGUUCCUAACCUUGAGGUCGUAGGUUCGAAUCCUACCGGG
rnacentral:tRNA from 1 species